rnacentral:ribozyme from 1 species
CUUUUUUUUUUUUUUUUUUUUUUUUCAAGCACCUUCUGUCGAAGUGAACG